GACGAACGCUGGCGGCGUGCUUAACACAUGCAAGUCGAGCGGAGCGGCGAACGGGUGAGUAACGCGUGAGUAAUUGCCCCCCUCUCUGGGAUAACAGAUGGAAACGGCUGCUAAUACCGGAUAGUGGGGGAUGACUCGCGUCCUAUCAGCUUGUUGGUGGGGUAGUGGCAUAGCACGGCUACGCCGGGUAGCCGGCCUGAGAGGGCGACCGGCCAUAGUAGGCUGAGCUACGGACCAAACUCCUACGGGGGGCAGCAGUGGGGAAUAUUGCACAAUGAGGGAAACCCUGAUGCAGAAACGCCGCGUGCGGGAUGACGGCCUUGGGGUUGUAUACCGCUUUCAGCUAUGACGCGGUAGUGGCAGAAGAAGCACCGGCUAACUACGUGCCAGCAGCCGCGGUAAUAC
rnacentral:rRNA from 1 species